CGAACGCUGGCGGCGUGCUUAACACAUGCAAGUCGAACGGAAAGGCCCUGCUUUUGUGGGGUGCUCGAGUGGCGAACGGGUGAGUAACACGUGAGUAACCUGCCCUUGACCUUGGGAUAACUUCAGGAAACUGGGGCUAAUACCGGAUAGGAGCUCCUGCUGCAUGGUGGGGGUUGGAAAGUUUCGGCGGUUGGGGAUGGACUCGCGGCUUAUCAGCUUGUUGGUGGGGUAGUGGCUUACCAAGGCUUUGACGGGUAGCCGGCCUGAGAGGGUGACCGGCCACAUUGGGACUGAGAUACGGCCCAGACUCCUACGGGAGGCAGCAGUGGGGAAUAUUGCACAAUGGGCGGAAGCCUGAUGCAGCAACGCCGCGUGCGGGAUGACGGCCUUCGGGUUGUAAACCGCUUUCGCCUGUGACGAAGCGUGAGUGACGGUAAUGGGUAAAGAAGCACCGGCUAACUACGUG
rnacentral:rRNA from 1 species